rnacentral:rRNA from 1 species
UGGGGAAUAUUGGACAAUGGGGGAAACCCUGAUCCAGCAAUGCCGCGUGUGUGAAGAAGGUCUUCGGAUUGUAAAGCACUUUUGGCAGGGACGAUGAUGACGGUACCUGCAGAAUAAGCCCCGGCUAACUUCGUGCCAGCAGCCGCGGUAAUACGAAGGGGGCUAGCGUUGCUCGGAAUGACUGGGCGUAAAGGGCGCGUAGGCGGCACACACAGUCAGAAGUGAAAUUCCUGGGCUCAACCUGGGGACUGCUUUUGAUACGUGUGAGCUAGAGUGAGGAAGAGGGUUGUGGAAUUUCCAGUGUAGAGGUGAAAUUCGUAGAUAUUGGAAAGAACACCGGUGGCGAAGGCGGCAACCUGGUCCUUUACUGACGCUGAGGCGCGAAAGCGUGGGGAGCAAACAGGAUUAGAUACCCCCGUAGUCC